AUAUUUACCUGGCAGUGGAGUCACCAGGAUCACGAAGGUGGUUCCCCAGGGCGAGGUUUGUCCACUGCACUUCGGACGUUCUGACCCUGCGAUUUCCCCAAAUGUGGGAAACUCGGCUGCACAAUUUGUAGUAGUAGGGGACUGCGUUCGCGCUCUCCCCUG